GAUGAACGCUGGCGGCGUGCCUAAUACAUGCAAGUCGAGCGAACAGACGAGGAGCUUGCUCCUCUGACGUUAGCGGCGGACGGGUGAGUAACACGUGGAUCACCUACCUAUAAGACUGGGAUAACUUCGUGAAACCAGAGCUACUACCGGAUAAUAUAUUGAACCGCAUGAUUCAAUAGUGAAAGACGCUUUUCCUGUCACUUAUAGAUGAAUCCGCGUCGCAUUAGCUAGUUGGUAAGGUAACGGCUUACCAAGGCGACGAUGCGUAGCCGACCUGAGAGGGUGAUCGGCCACACUGGAACUGAGACACGGUCCAGACUCCUACGGGAGGCAGCAGUAGGGAAUCUUCCGCAAUGGGCGAAAGCCUGACGGAGCAACGCCGCGUGAGUGAUGAAGGUCUUCGGAUCGUAAAACUCUGUUAUUAGGGAAGAACAAAUGUGUAAGUAACUAUGCACGUCUUGACGGUACCUAAACAGAAAGCAACGGCUAACUACGUG
rnacentral:rRNA from 1 species